rnacentral:rRNA from 1 species
UACGUAGGGUGCGAGCGUUGUCCGGAAUUACUGGGCGUAAAGAGCUCGUAGGCGGUUUGUCGCGUCGUCUGUGAAAACCCGCAGCUCAACUGCGGGCUUGCAGGCGAUACGGGCAGACUUGAGUACUGCAGGGGAGACUGGAAUUCCUGGUGUAGCGGUGAAAUGCGCAGAUAUCAGGAGGAACACCGGUGGCGAAGGCGGGUCUCUGGGCAGUAACUGACGCUGAGGAGCGAAGGCGUGGGUAGCGAACAGGAUUAGAUACCCUGGUAGUCCACGCCGUAAACGGUGGGCGCUAGGUGUGGGUUUCCUUCCACGGGAUCCGUGCCGUAGCUAACGCAUUAAGCGCCCCGCCUGGGGAGUACGGCCGCAAGGCUAAA